ACACUUACCUAGCAGGGGAGAUACCAUGAUCAAGAAGGUGGUUUUCCCAGGGCGAAGCUUAUCCAUUGCACUCUGGAUGUCCUGACCCCUGAGAUUUUCCCAAAUGUGAGAGACUCAACUCUAUGAUUGUGGUAGUGGGGGCUACAUUUGUGCUAUGU
rnacentral:snRNA from 1 species